rnacentral:rRNA from 1 species
ACCCGCUGAACUUAAGCAUAUCAAUAAGCGGAGGAAAAGAAGCCAACAGGGAUUGCCUCAGUAACGGCGAGUGAAGCGGCAACAGCUCAAAUUUGAAAUCUGGCCUCUUUGGGGUCCGAGUUGUAAUUUGUAGAGGAUGUUUCGGGUACCGCCUCGGUUUAAAUUUCUUGGAACAGAAUGUCAAAGAGGGUGAGAAUCCCGUCUUGGACCGGCGGUAGGGCCCAUGUGAAACUCCUUCGACGAGUCGAGUUGUUUGGGAAUGCAGCUCAAAAUGGGUGGUAAAUUUCAUCUAAAGCUAAAUAUUGGCCAGAGACCGAUAGCGCACAAGUAGAGUGAUCGAAAGAUGAAAAGCACUUUGAAAAGAGAGUUAAACAGUAUGUGAAAUUGUUGAAAGGGAAGCGCUUACAACCAGACUUGCGCGCGGCGGUUCCCCCUUCCUUUUGGUUGGGCUACUCCGUCGUGUCCAGGCCAACAUCGGUUCUGGGGGUCGGUUAAAGACCCUGGGAAUGUAUCUACCCCUCGGGCGUAGACUUAUAGCUCAGGGUGUCAUGCGGCCUCCCGGGACCGAGGAACGCGCUUCGGCUCGGAUGUUGGCGUAAUGGUUGUCAGCGACCCGUCUUGAAACACGGACCAAGGAGUCUAACAUCUAUGCGAGUGUUUGGGUGUCAAACCCGGAACGCGAAAUGAAAGUGAACGGAGGUAGGAAGCCUUGAGGCUGCACUAUCGACCGAUCCUGAUGUCUUCGGAUGGAUUUGAGUAAGAGCAUAGCUGUUGGGACCCGAAAGAUGGUGAACUAUGCCUGAAUAGGGUGAAGCCAGAGGAAACUCUGGUGGAGGCUCGCAGCGGUUCUGACGUGCAAAUCGAUCGUCAAAUUUGGGUAUAGGGGCGAAAGACUAAUCGAACCAUCUGGUAGCUGGUUCCUGCCGAAGUUUCCCUCAGGAUAGCAGUAACGUUUUCAGUUUUAUGAGGUAAAGCGAAUGAUUAGAGGCCUUGGGGUUGAAACAACCUUAACCUAUUCUCAAACUUUAAAUAUGUAAGAAGUCCUUGUUGCUUAAUUGAACGUGGACAUUUGAAUGUAUCGUUACUAGUGGGCCAUUUUUGGUAAGCAGAACUGGCGAUGCGGGAUGAACCGAACGUGAGGUUAAGGUGCCGGAAUGUACGCUCAUCAGACACCACAAAAGGUGUCAAUGCAUCCAGACAGCCGGACGGUGGCCAUGGAAGUCGGAAUCCGCUUAGGAGUGUGUAACAACUCACCGGCCGAAUGCAUUGGCCCUGAAAAUGGAUGGCGCUUAAGCGUGCUACCUAUACCUCGCCGUCAGGGUUGACAUGAUGCCCUGACGAGUAGGCAGGCGUGGAGGUCCGUGACGAAGCCUUGGGGGUGACCCUGGGUCGAACGACCUCUAGUGCAGAUCUUGGUGGUAGUA